AUAUCAGUAAGCGGAGGAAAAGAAACCAACAGGGAUUGCCUUAGUAACGGCGAGUGAAGCGGCAACAGCUCAGAUUUGAAAGCCGGCAUCAGCCUGCAUUGUAAUCUGCAGAGGAACGUUUGGCUGCGGUAAGGGUCCAAGUCUUCUGGAAUGAAGCGCCUUAGAGGGUGAGAGCCCCGUAUGCGACUGGGUGCCUAAGUUCAUGUAAAGCUCCUUCGACGAGUCGAGUUGUUUGGGAAUGCAGCUCAAAAUGGGUGGUAAAUUUCAUCUAAAGCUAAAUAUUGGCCAGAGACCGAUAGCGCACAAGUA
rnacentral:rRNA from 1 species